UAGGGUUAAGAUUUGGUUAGGAUUCGAUUUAGAAUUAGGAUUUGAUUUAGAAUUAGGAUUUGAUUUAGGAUUUAGAAUUUGUUUUAGGAUUUAGGAUUUGGUUAGGAUUUGAUUUAGGAUUAGAAUUUGGUUAGGAUUUGGUUUAGAAUUUAGGAUUUGGUUUAGGAUUGGUUAGGAUUUGAUUUAGGAUUAGGAUUUGGUUAGGAUUUGGUUUAGGAUCUAGGAUUUGAUUUAGGGUUGGAUAGAAUUUGAUUUAGGAUUUAGAGUUUGAUUAGGGUUUGAUUUAGGAUUUAAGAUUUUAUUUGAAUUUAUUAAGGAUUUAAGAUUUAGUUAAUUUUUGGCCUAAAGUUUGAAUGAAGUCCAAUAGAAUUUUAAGUAGGAUUAAAUUAAGAUUGAAUUGAAAUGUAUUUGAGAUAUAUUUAUGAUCAUUCUAAUAUUUCUUUAAGAUUUUUUAUUAUUUCUUUGUAAUUCCUUUAAGAUUUUUUUGAAUUUGAUUAAAGCUUGCUUAGCAUUGUUAUAGUCUAAUUAGAGUUUACUUAAUAUUUUAUUAGAGUUAGGAUUUUGUUGUUGUAAUUUUCAUUCUACCUUCCACAGCCAAGUGCCCGGAGCAUUCUCAAGCAAGACUUCACGUAUUACAAUAGCGUGCAAUGCAACAUGAC
rnacentral:lncRNA from 1 species